AGAGUUUGAUUUUGGCUCAGGACGAACGCUGGCGGCGCGCCUAACACAUGCAAGUCGAACGAGCGAGAGAGAGCUUGCUUUCUCAAGCGAGUGGCGAACGGGUGAGUAACGCGUGAGGAACCUGCCUCAAAGAGGGGGACAACAGUUGGAAACGACUGCUAAUACCGCAUAAGCCCACGGGUCGGCAUCGACCAGAGGGAAAAGGAGCAAUCCGCUUUGAGAUGGCCUCGCGUCCGAUUAGCUAGUUGGUGAGGUAAUGGCCCACCAAGGCGACGAUCGGUAGCCGGACUGUGAGGUUGAACGGCCACAUUGGGACUGAGACACGGCCCAGACUCCUACGGGAGGCAGCAGUGGGGAAUAUUGCACAAUGGGGGAAACCCUGAUGCAGCGACGCCGCGUGGAGGAAGAAGGUCUUCGGAUUGUAAACUCCUGUUGUUGAGGACGAUAAUGACGGUACUCAACAAGGAAGUGACGGCUAACUACGUGCCAGCAGCCGCGGUAAAACGUAGGUCACAAGCGUUGUCCGGAAUUACUGGGUGUAAAGGGAGCGCAGGCGGGAAGACAAGUUGGAAGUGAAAUCUAUGGGCUCAACCCAUAAACUGCUUUCAAAACUGUUUUUCUUGAGUAGUGCAGAGGUAGGCGGAAUUCCCGGUGUAGCGGUGGAAUGCGUAGAUAUCGGGAGGAACACCAGUGGCAAAGGCGGCCUACUGGGCACCAACUGACGCUGAGGCUCGAAAGUGUGGGUAGCAAACAGGAUUAGAUACCCUGGUAGUCCACACCGUAAACGAUGAUUACUAGGUGGGGGAGGAUUGACCCCCUCAGUGCCGCAGGUAACACAAUAAGUAAUCCACCUGGGGAGUACGACCGCAAGGUUGAAACUCAAAGGAAUUGACGGGGGCCCGCACAAGCAGUGGAGUAUGUGGUUUAAUUUGACGCAACGCGAAGAACCUUACCAAGUCUUGACAUCCUGCGACGAUGCUGGAAACAGUAUUUUCCUUCGGGACGCAGAGACAGGUGGUGCAUGGUUGUCGUCAGCUCGUGUCGUGAGAUGUUGGGUUAAGUCCCGCAACGAGCGCAACCCUUACUGUCAGUUACUACGCAAGAGGACUCUGGCAGGACUGCCGUUGACAAAACGGAGGAAGGUGGGGAGGACGUCAAAUCAUCAUGCCCUCUAUGACUUGGGCUACACACGUACUACAAUGGCGUUAAACAAAGAGAAGCAAGACCGCGAGGUGGAGCAAAACUCAGAAACAACGUCCCAGUUCGGACUGCAGGCUGCAACUCGCCUGCACGAAGUCGGAAUUGCUAGUAAUCGUGGAUCAGCAUGCCACGGUG
rnacentral:rRNA from 1 species